GGGGUUCUGAGAGGAAGGCCCCCCACACUGGUACUGAGACACGGACCAGACUCCUACGGGAGGCAGCAGUGAGGAAUAUUGGUCAAUGGGCGCGAGCCUGAACCAGCCAAGUCGCGUGAGGGAAUAAGGUCCUAUGGAUUGUAAACCUCUUUUGUCGGGGAGCAAUGAGCGUCACGCGUGAUGCGUUGAAAAUACCCGAAGAAAAAGCAUCGGCUAACUCCGUGCCAGCAGCCGCGGUAAUACGGAGGAUGCGAGCGUUAUCCGGAUUUAUUGGGUUUAAAGGGUGCGUAGGCGGGGAGCCAAGUCAGCGGUAAAAUCGUGGGGCUCAACCCCAUCCCGCCGUUGAAACUGGUUUUCUUGAGUGGAUGAGAAGUAUGCGGAAUGCGUGGUGUAGCGGUGAAAUGCAUA
rnacentral:rRNA from 1 species